CGGCAAUGGCCGGUUGAGGGCACAUCGGAUGGAAUUACGUCGGCAGACCAGUUGUGAUGGAUCGGCAGGGCUCCGUGUCGACAAAGGGUCCAGGCCAAUUGGCAAAAGAGGACCUGAGCCCUAGGACCAUGCCUCAGGACUACCUGGCUUGAUGACUCCUUGCUGUCCCCAGUUCACCUGGCCGUCCUGCUGCUCCAGUUCCAACUGUUCUGCCUGCAGCUAUGGAACCCUGACCUGUUCGCCGGACGUGCUACCUGUCCCAGACCUGUUGUCCCAGACCUGCUGGAACCCUGACCUAUUCACCGGACGUGCUACCUAUCCCAGACCUGCUGUUUUCAACUCUCUAGAGACAGCAGGAGCGGUAGAGAUACUCUCAAAGAUCGGCUAUGAAAAAGCCAACUGACACUUACUCCUGUGUUACUGACUUGUUGCACCCUCGACAACUACUAUGAUUAUUAUUAUUUGACAAUGCUGGUCAUUUAUGAACAUUUGAACAUCUAGGCCAUGUGCUGUUAUAAUCUCCACCCGGCACAGCCAGAAGAGGACUGGCCACCCCUCAUAGCCUGGUUCCUCUCUAGGUUUCUUCCUAGGUUUUGGCCUUUCUAGGGAGUUUUUCCUAGCCACCGUGCUUCGACACUUCUACACCUGCAUUACUUGCUGUUUGGGGUUUUAGGCUGGGUUUCUGUACAGCACUUUGUGAUAUCAGCUGAUGUAAGAAGGGCUAUAUAAAUACAUUUGAUUUGAUUUGAUAGGUGGCAUAUUUAAAAUGUCUAAAAUAUUAUGGAAGGGUCCAGUUGUAAAUGGAUAUAAAACAAUGUGGAAUUAAGCCAUAACACUAUUUCCCAAAAAUGAUUCCCAAAAUACUGUUUUAAAUGGUUUCCAGCCAUUGGUUUCCAGCUAUUUCACUUUUUGCCAUUAAUAUAACACAUACUGUAUUAUACAGCAUUGAGUCAUUGUGCAUCUGUUGUUAUCUGAGAUGUGGUUACAUUCAAGAAUGCAAUGAAAUAUUAUGUAACCAGGUCAGACUUGUCAACAACCCUCAUGUUGGAAACCAUUACAUAUAAACCUCAUAAUAAUAAUAAUAGUCUAUCAUUCAGACAUAACAUGUUUCUCUCAUCAUAGCUCAUAGUCAUAGGUGAAUUGAAUCAUAAUUCCCUUCAGUGAUGACACAAUACUGGGUGAAGGGACAGUGCACUGCAUUGAUCCUGUUAACAUGGUGUUUAGAUAAUAUGGUUACGUAGUGGCAGGCUCUCAGUGUCCAUGUAGUGAACAUGGGGCCCACCUUGUGGAGGCCAGCAGAGGUCGUACACAACCAAACAAAACCCAGACAAACAGCUCCAUAUGAAGAGAGAGAGUCAGGCAGAGCCACA
rnacentral:lncRNA from 1 species